rnacentral:snRNA from 15 species
UUCGCUAAACCUCCAAGGCCUUUCAUAAGACCUAGUGAACAAUUUUUGGGGACCCUAUCUUUUUAAGGUAGGGUU